CCUACGGGAGGCAGCAGUGGGGAAUCUUGCGCAAUGGGCGAAAGCCUGACGCAGCCAUGCCGCGUGAAUGAUGAAGGUCUUAGGAUUGUAAAAUUCUUUCACCGGGGACGAUAAUGACGGUACCCGGAGAAGAAGCCCCGGCUAACUUCGUGCCAGCAGCCGCGGUAAUACGAAGGGGGCUAGCGUUGCUCGGAAUUACUGGGCGUAAAGGGAGCGUAGGCGGAUAGUUUAGUCAGAGGUGAAAGCCCAGGGCUCAACCUUGGAAUUGCCUUUGAUACUGGCUAUCUUGAGUACGGAAGAGGUAUGUGGAACUCCGAGUGUAGAGGUGAAAUUCGUAGAUAUUCGGAAGAACACCAGUGGCGAAGGCGACAUACUGGUCCGUUACUGACGCUGAGGCUCGAAAGCGUGGGGAGCAAACAGGAUUAGAUACCCUGGUAGUCCACGCUGUAAACGAUGGGUGCUAGUUGUCGGCAUGCAUGCAUGUCGGUGACGCGAGCUACGACAUUAAGACACUCCGCCGUCGGGAGGUACGGUCGCGAGAGUUAAACGUAACGUAAAGUAAGUUAGACGGUCGUUGAGACGUUGCCGACGGACGACGACGAGGGAGGAGG
rnacentral:rRNA from 1 species